rnacentral:ncRNA from 2 species
GUCCGUUCAUCCCAAUAGGGACGCAUGACACCCAAGCAUGGAACGGGGCUUGGU